UUGACAAUCAUAUUCUUAAAAAAUAUAAGUCAGAGCAUACUUAAAUAAAAAAGUGAAACUCUUUCCCCAGACUGUGGUUAUUGAGCAUCUGGUAAGUUCCCAGGGAAGUCAGACCCUGAUAUUCUUGCAAAGGCUGCGUUGAAGAAAGUGUUGAACAAACAAUAUAUUAUGGGGAAAGCUUACUGAUAGUGAGAGGAAAAAAAAAAAAAGUUUUGUGGUAAGGCUGAAAAUUAAAGCUGAAACGAAAAAGCAAGGGAAGGCAGUAGCUUUCUUUGAGCACCUCCUAGGCACAUGCCAUUUUACAUACUUGAGAACAUUUGAUUCUUGUAACAAUGCUAUGAAGUUGGCUGUGGCGGGUUGAUUGUGUCUCCUCAGAAAGAUAGGCGAAGCCCUAACCGUUGAUACCUCAGAAUGUGACCUCACCUCAUUUGAAAUAGGGUCUUUUCAGGGGUGACCAACUUAAAAUGACAUCAUGAGGGUAGGCUCUAAUCCAGUAUGAUCCACAUCCUUAUAAAAAGGGAAAAUUAGGAGAUAGACACGCGCAAAGGGAAGAGGAUGUGGAGACACAGGGCUAAUGCCGUCUACAGGCUAAGGGAUGCCUGAGGCGCCCCUGAAGCUGGGAGAGAAGAAUGGAAGAGAUUCUUCCCCGUGGCCCUCAGAAGGAAUCAAUUCUCCUCUAAUACCUUGAUAUCAGACUUCUAGCCUCAUUUGUGACACCGUGAAUUUCUGUUUAAGACUCCCAGUUUCCGGUGUUUUGUUAUGGCCCUAGAAAAUGAAGACAUUGGCAUUUUAAUCAGUUUUUGGUCAAGUAAUAUGACGCAUGUGGACUAACGUCUGGGUUGGAACAGAGACUUUCAGAGCACCCCCCCUUCCCCCUGAUAUUAUUGGCUCUUAGCUGUAAAGGACACUGAGAACACAGGAUAAGCACCAAACGUGGAGGACUGAGCAGAUGGGGAGGGAGGGGUAGUCCCAGGAGGAACUGGUGCCCAGGGAGCCCGCCCAGCGUUAAUCAUUUCUAUUUCUUCCCACACGACUGAUUAAACCCAGCCUCAUCACCAGUAUGGCCUUUCACUCAGAGAAUUUUCCCUUCCUGGGUCACACAGAUUGACCCUUUUCCACGUUUCUGGGGGAUUCUCUGUGUCAAAGGGAAUUCGAGCCAUUUAUUCAAAUGUGUCUGGUUUGCGUGGGGCGUCAGACUGAAGGAUGACACUGCAAACCUGAGGGGACAGCCUCCAAUUAAUCAGAGAGCCACGCCUCACCUUGCCAGGGUCUCACAGAGUGUGUCACAGUCACAACUAUUGAUUCCUGGUCCAUCGAUGCUGCAGCUCCAAAAGCUCGAGGCAUUUAAGGAACUUGACUUUCAGAAAGACAGUGCUUUUUGGACCUGAAGUUAACACUUUCCUCCCUGGUUAAUGCUGCCCUGUUCUGAACUUCUCUAUUCAAAGGUUGGCAUGAAGACAGCUACUGAGAUCUUGAAGGAGGAUCCAGCCUGCUUCUCACACCACUGAACUUCCCUCUUCAUCACCUUGGCUUUGCACUUCCCAGAAUGGAACUGCUUGUUAACUCUCUGAACUAGCCGAAAGCAGGUAAUAUUCAAAGCAAGACAUCUCUGAUAACUUGCUCAGCUUUUAACAGUGGAUUGAGUUCAAAUCUCUUUGUACAGGAGCCUAACUAGGACCAGGUGGAGACCACAGGGCACCAGGCACUAUGAAGAACUGGUCCAAUUGUUGCAGGUGUUUGCGGUUGGAACGGGCUGCCUCAAGAGGUGGUGAGGUCCUGUUGCUGCGCUGACACCAAGGCCACUCCACAGGGGAGAAGAGGGUGCAGAUGAUGUUGGAUGUGCUUCCUUCUCAACCGGAAAGUUUCACACCCAAUAGGGAAGAGGGAGUCAGAGUGAGAGGACCUUUCCUCUACCUCUUCACAGCCGUGACUUCUGUCAGAAAACACGGGACCUGCAUGAGAAGGGCUUGUUCCCAUCCCCGGGCUGAUAAUCAACGUCUGGGCCUGUUUCCUCAGUUGUGAAUAAAGGGUCGUGUUAAUGGAUCUCUGAGCUAUGACCCAGUGUGAUUAUCUUAGUAUCGUUUGUGGGCUUAUGUAGUCUAACUUUUGAUAAUUUUCUAUGUACCAAACACUGAUCUAAACAAUUUACAAAUGUUUUGUUUCACAUAAAUCUAUUUAAGGUAAUAUUUUCAAUUUUAAGAAUUCAGGUAUUAUCCGCACUGGCAGGUGAGGUGAUGCACGCACUCAGUGAGCACCCAGUUUUCCUGAGGUUUCACAGCUAUUAAGGGGGAAACCAAUCAGAUUUUAGACUACAAGUCUUUUUUUUUUUUUUAACAUUUAUUCGUUUUUGAAAUACAGAGCAUGCCCAAGCAGGGGUGGGGCAGAGAGAGAGAGGGAGACACAGAAUCCAAAGCGGGCUCCAGGCUCCGAGCUGUCAGCACAGAGCCCGACACAGGGCUCGAACUCAAGAAUCACGAGAUCAUGACCUGAGCCGAAGCUGGACACUUAACCGACUGAGCCACCCAGGCCCCCAAGACUACAAGGUUUAAUUAAAAUCUUCCUCUGUCACCUAUGCAAACCACUGAAGUGGCUUCUUGGGCCCCAUCGUUACCAGCAUCAGUUGUCCUGACUCAGUGGCGUCGACCACCGAGCACCAACCCUACAGCCAUUAAAGUCCUUUCUAUGGUCACUAUGUGGACCACGUCAUGGUCCAUGCUCACUCACUUCAGGCACUGAUUUCCUGCUCUUCUUCCCUUCCUCUUUAUUCCCGUCUGUUGGUUCUCUUUUCCCCCCUUGACAAAAACUUAGAGUCUGUUGUGUCCCAGGAUUGAGGAUUCAGAAAAGGUAAGAGAUUAUUGCCAGUCUGAGACAUCACACAAUGCAACUGAGUGUGAGGACAAAGAUACAGAUUUACACAGAAAAAGUAUAAUGUCCUACAUCAUAUUCCCUUGAAAGAAGGAACGAGGGACGUGGAUAGGGGAGAGAGGGGCUGAGAGAGGGAGUCAGAACAUGCCCUGAGAGAGCUACACAGCCAAGCAGGGGCAGAGAGAGAGAGGAGAUAGGGUGGACAGAGCCUAUAACUCUCCCUGGGGAGCCUUGGGGAAGUUUUCACAGCGGUGUUUGUAUUUGAGAUGAAUCUUGAGGAAGAGCAGAAGUUUGGUGUGAAAAUAGAAGACAUUACAGGCAAAGAUGAAGGAAAUAGCCCUGUUUUGCCUCAGUAAUGGAACAUUCCAUGGGACUGGCUUCAGGGAAGCAGGGAUGGAAGUUUGAAUGGGUGCCUUGUAGUCAGCACCCAAAGGGUUUGUGUCAAUAUUUAAGAUAUUGAGAUCUUACCUAGUAGUAGGGAGACACUGGGGGAGGGGUUGACUCAUGAUCAGAGUCACUCUGGAGCGCUCUGGAGGAGACACUGGAGUAAAUGGGAAAGAGCUGAAAACAGAAGGUUUUGUUAAGAAAGGACGUGGGUGUGAGCCAUGGGUGAGAUGUGGACGGUGAGGAAGGGGCAGAUGGAGAUUGGCUGAUACAGAACAGGCGGGACUGAGUGACAGAGAAGGAAAGGGGGGAUGUGGCACCAGGAUUUCAAAGUCAGAGAAGACAGACUCGUCACUCCUGCUAUUUUCUUUGUCAGCCUCUGACACGAGUCUCAUCCAACCUAACCACAUCCCUCCCUGACUUCUUGCCACCUGCCCUCAGGAAACUUGGAAGGCAGUGGCCCCUGUGGCCAAUAGAAGCCCUGAGUCAGCAGAUCUAUCCCAGUCACCUCCUUGCCUGCAGCCCCUUCCCAGGGGUCCUCCAGCCCAAAUAGCUGCGGGCCGAGCUACCGGGCUCUGGGCUUACACCUCCUCAUCCUCCAGUUCGGCCCCCACCAGCUUUAGAAAUGACCCCCUCUUGGGGCGCCUGGGUGGCUCAGUCGGAUGAGCAUCCGACUUCGGCUCAGGUCACGAUCUCACAGUUCGUGGGUUCGAGCCCCGCAUCAGACUCUGUGCUGACCACUGGCUCAGAGCCUGGAGCCUGCUUCAGAUUCUGUGUCUCCUCCUCUCUCUGUCCCUCCCCCGCUCACGCUUUGUCUUACUCUGUUUCUCAAAAACAAAUAAAUGUAAAAAAAUAAAAUAAAAAAGAAAUGUCCCCUUCUCUGUUCCACAAAUCCCAACCACAGGUAGGCAGACUCUCCUUCCCAAAUCACUGUCUUCUGUGAAAUGGAAACGGAGAGAUACUUGCUUCAGAUUAUGCUGAAGUCAGAGCACCCUUCUACUUUCGGAAGCUAAAGCUAAAAUGGAGAAGCAUUCAUUCAUUCACAAACAUACUCAUUGAGCUGGCAGCCUGCCAGAUGGAUAAAACAGAAACAUUGCCGCCAGGAGUUCAGGGAUGAGCCAAGUCCCUGCUGUCAUGGGAUGCACACUCUGGUGUCAGAGAGGCAGAUCGAGACAGGUGGGCAUGUCACACAACAACGGCAGGUGAUUGAUGGGACUGUUCAGGACACGGUGUUGGGGAAUACGUAGGCAGAGAUGGACCUGCUUGAAAUAGAUUCCUUAAGGAAGCCCUCUCUGAGGAAGUGAUAUUUAAGACAGAAAGACAAAUGAGAAAGUAGCCACAACAUGCAAAAACAUAGGUCUAAAAUGCUAUAUAAAUGAUAAAGUGCAAGUCAAUAUUGACCAGGAAUAAAGGCAAACACAGAGCCACUCUUUCCAUACCCCUACAGAAUGCCAGCCAGGAAGUCAUGGGAUCUGGAGGUGUUUUGUUUUUGUCAUGCUCAUGUGAAAGGGACCCUCCAGUUUUAAGAAACUCACAUUCAUCUUGCGUAUAAAGACACGAAUGGGCCUACGAGAGACACGCUAUCUCAGGGGUUGGCAAAAACUUUCACGAAGAGGAAGAUAAAUUAUCUUAGGCUGUGUGGGCCAUACGCUCUCUGUUGUAGCUACUCAAUCCACCAGAAGAGCCUGGAAGCCACGGACAAUGUAUAAAUGAGUGAGCGCUCCUCUGUUCGGUCAUUUUAUUUAUGGAUGCUAAAAACAACAAUUUUCACAGGUCACAAAAUAUUUAUUUUUGCGGACAUGUGAAACCCUAAAAUCUUUUCUUCAUUCAUGGGCUUACAAACACGGGCAGUGGGCUGUAUUUGGUUCUUGGGACCUGGUCUGGCCAUCCCUGCUCUGCAGCAAGGUAGCUGAGAGAGCAAACUCUUGAGCAGACUGCCUCGGUUCAUUUCCAGAUGACUCCAUCUGCCAGGGGUGCACUCACACGUCCAGGCCAAAGAAAAUUUACUUUGAUCCUGUUUUGUUCUCUUAUCUUUCUGUCCCUCUUUUCUUAGUCAAACUUCUUAGAACAAUAAUCUAUACUCCCUCCCCGGGGCAAACUGUGUUUUACAAAAACGACUUCGACAUACUUCCAGCCUCUGAUGCUCUUCCAGAAUCAUGUCCCACCCUUAACCCCUCUAAGAGGUGGUAUUGAGGUUCCCUCCCCUUAAAACUGGGCAGGCCUUUGUGAGUACUCCAGCUAACUGAGCCCUACAGAAGAGAUGCUCGAAGACUCAGAAACUGGGUCGUAAAAGGCAAGACAGCUUCUGCCUGCCUUUCAGGGUGCACGUGCCUACGGACCCUAGAGCUGCCACAUAAAGAAGGGUGUGAUGACUGUUACUUCCUUUUAGAGGCUUUCGUUGGAUUUCUCCGCAGUGGAUCUGGUCCUAGGCAAAGAAAGAAAGCAGUGCGUGUACAUGAUGUGCCUGGAGUAUAAGGCGUACGGGGCCGAGAAUUGGGAGCUUUGGCCAGUGAUACGUGCAGAUGGCAUUUCCUGGAAGGCUUUAAUGAUGCGGUGGAUGAGCUUGGAAUGGAUCUGGAGAGUAACAGGUGGCCCCUGGAGAGAUUUGAGGCCUAAGAGUAGAAUGGACAGGUUUCUCUCUUAGGGGAACUACUCUAGUUGUAACAGAAGAAGCCGUGAUGAGACCCCUGGCUGGAAGCCUGCAACACGGUCUGGGUGAUGCGGAGGAGGGCAGUGCCAAUGGCCGUGGACAGAGAGAGUGGAGAGAUUCCUGAGACCACCCCGCAAGGAGAGCGCUGUCCGCCCAGCUGAUGGACAGACAUCACAACAACGCAUAUUCUCGUACCUUCUACUACAGUCUUGUCAGAAUAGAUCCCUCUCUCACAUGGCUACGCCUCCUCGCCUGCUCUCUCUUUCAUGAUUUUUCUUUUUUGCCUGGUCAAUAUGCAACACGGUUCCCACAUGGGUGGUUCCUCUCCCUUCUCUUCAGCAGACACUGGGGAACCGUUCCUUGAAAGCAAGAUGCCACAGAUAAGCUCACAGCUGGCCGAAUACUGGUGAAAGGGUUCCUCUGUGCCCCCCGCCCCGUGAAACACCUGCCUCUGUCGGCCACAGACCGGUCCUCUGAAAAAUACCCUGGGAACCCUGUCCCAAAGCCCCCUCCCAGCUGUUAUCUUGACACAAUCACUGUGCUCUGGGUUUUUAAUCUGGGAGAUUAAAUCUAUACAUGCCUGAGUGGAAAGAUCACAUCCUUGUAAUGUUUCACCUAUAAAAUUUCUCAGCUGCCUUCGUUUAACCUGUUGUAUUUAUGGCCCAACUGUAAUUUAGGAGAAUGCUCAGAAAAUGCCAAUUUCAAAGGGCCGCUCUCUCAAAUUGCCACUCAGCAAGGCUUUCUGCAGGAGUGUAGUGAACUGUGGUAAAACUGAUCAUUUCAGUCAAUUAGAUUUUUAGGCCAGUCACUUUUUACUGUUCUGAAAGAGAGCAAGAGAGCAUUUGAAAGCCAGAAUCAAUCAAUUACAGUCUAAAUGUAGAACAAGGAGGAAGAUACACAAGAAACCAUAUGUAUACUUUUUUUUUUUUUUAUAGGGAUGAACCUUGUAGAGGUCACUUGAGUUCUAUUAUAGAAUGUUCAUUUUGCAUAAAGUAGAAGUUACCACUUUAAAAGACAUGCCUACCCAGACCCUUUGGAUAGAAAUUGGGGUCAAAGAAUGAAAAGGCUGACAGGGAGAAUGCAAGUGCCUUAGCUGGGGAAGAAGGGGCUUGCCGAGACGAGCAUACAAGCAGAAUGAUCAGGUAGGCUUUUCUUGUAAAGACCAUAGCAACCUUUGACUCAAAGUUCUAACACAGUUAAAAUUGUAACAGGUCGAAGGCCACAAGUUCAGAAAACAUAUAGAUCUUUUGUGAUAGUUCCUCUAUUUAACCCAAGACUGGAUUAUGAGGUCUAGAGAUUCUAGAAAGCCAAAGAUUAUGGUCCUUCCUUAGGCAACUGAAAAUAAAAACAUCACUAACAGUAGAGCAGGAUUAAAGAACAUAAAAUAAAUCUUCUCCUAAUAGACCCUUCACAAUUUCAAAUUCAAAAAUAUUUGAAAAUACCUUCUUAUGUUAAGAAAAGGCUCCUGGGGUGGGGAGGGGCGCCUGGGUGGCUCAGUCUGUUAAACAUCUGACUUUGGCUCGGGUCACGAUCUCGUGGUUCAUGAGCUCCAGCCCCUCGUUGGACUCUGUGCUAACAGCUCAGGGCCUGGAACCUGCUUUGUAUUCUGUGUCUCCCCCUCUCUCUCUGCCCCUCCCCUGUUCACUCUCUCUCUCAAAAAUGAAUAAACUUUAAAAAAAUUAGAAAGAAAAGAAAAGGUUCCUAGGGAUGGUAACAAGAGAAACUUUGACAUCUGUUAUCAGAUUCCCCUUUGAGACAUGAUUUAAAGGACACCUUUUCCACACAGCCAUCUGUGACUGCUUCAGACCAUUACAAGCAAUCACUUUAUGCCCUUGACUUUCCAUUCCAAUUGUUUCCACCAUUUACUUAGUGCCCCCUCUUACACACCAACACGUUUUGCAGGAUCUAGAGAAGGAGCACCAGGUUUCCACCAGCAGGUCUGGAUUCCGUUCCUUGUGUCACCAUCUGGACCCAAGCACAGUUGGGUAAGGAUAUCAGCUAGCAGAACUUUGGGAAAACAGAAUCCACACUAGGGAGAUAAACAGAGGUGAUUGACUAGGAAGAAAUGGAGAGAGCAGUUAAGAGGAAAGAGGAGACGGUUGGACAUCUAAAGAGUAGCCAACAGCAGGAAGCCACUUGGCAAGAAGGGACUUGGAGGGAACACAGGGAGAAGGUAUAGCAGAGCACAGAAGAUGACCACUCAGGCAGGAGCUACCAUGUGGGAGAUCGGACCAGAGAUUGGCAGGGACCAUCUGGAAAGGAUUUGGAACCAACUUCAGACGAGAUGUAGCCACUGUCAGAGAUCCUGCCUGGAAUUCUCUGGCUCCUUCCCUCUUCCACUUUCCGUUUUGCCACCAGUGCCAUCCAAUGGCCCAGUCUACCUGGGAGCCAACUGACAAGGGCACCUCAGAAAUCUAGUCCCAGUGUUACACAGCACGGGGUGGUCAGGGGAUGGAGAGGGCAACAUGCAGACCAU